ensembl:snRNA U1 U1 spliceosomal RNA
UGACUUACCAUGGGGCAGGAGAUACCAUGGAUCAGGAAGGUGGUUUUUCCCAGGGAGCCGCUCCAUUGCACUGCGGUGUGCUGACCCCUGCGAUUUCCCCAAUGCGGGGAACUCGACUGCAUAAAGUGUGUAGUGGCGGGACUGCUUCAGCGCUCCUCCCCG